ACGACCGUGGCAGAGGCGACCUCUGGAAACCUGGCUAACAACAGUGCCUCAAGAAACAAGGUCAACAAAGACAUGACCAUCAAGUUCGACUUGUGUCACUGCGUGUGGUGGUUUGAACAGUGGGCUGCUAUAUUUCAGCCAAUCCUGUGGCAGCAACCCAAUGUAUUUAGGCAUGUAGACAAGGUGAAGACGAGCUGCUUAAGGUCAAACCGAGCAUCAGAAUGGGGAAGAAAGGUGAUUUAAGUGACUUUGAACGGGGCAUGGUUGUUGGUACCAAACAGGUUGGUCAGAAUAUUUCAGAAUCUGCUGAUCUACUGGGAUUGUCACCACAACAACCAUCUCUAGGGUUUACAGAGGAUGGUCUGACAAAGAGAAGAUAUCCAGUGUUGAUGCCAGAGGUCAGAGGAGAAUGGCCAGACUGGUUCAAGAUGAUAGAAAGACAACAGUAACUCAAAUAACCACUUGUUACAACCAAGGUCUGCAGAAGACCAUCUCUGAACCAACAACACGUCCAACCUUGAAGCAGAUGGGCUACAGCAGCAGAAGACCACACCAGGUGCCACUCCUGUCAGCUAACAACAGGAAACUGAGGCUACAGUUCACACAGGCUCACCAAAACUGGACAAUAGAAGAUUGGAAAAACGUCGCCUGGUCUGAUGAGUCUGGAUUUCUGCUGCAACUUUCAGAUGACUCUGAGAUCCUCCUGCAGUCACACAAGAGGUGCUCCUGAGCCCCAGUGUACAAGACCUUGAAGGCAGCAAAGCAGUCCCUAAAGCAUUAAAGGGGAACAUUGUGGUCAAUAUUUGUGAGCAUGAGUUGCUCUCUUUAAGUUUUUUUUAACAGUUUUAACAUCUGAUCAACUAUGUGCGUCAUAUGACUACGACCUGGCACCUUUUCCUGAUAUUUGCAGAAUAAUGUUGGUAGAAAUGUAGAUUAAAUAGGCUGUGUUGCCAUCACUAUGAGGAACAAAUAUGGAUUGCGGUUCCACACAGUUUCUUGCAUUUUUUGGGCCAAAAAUGGCUCUUAUGAUAGUAAACGUUGCU